rnacentral:rRNA from 1 species
UACGUAGGGUGCAGGCGUUAAUCGGAAUUACUGGGCGUAAAGCGUGCGCAGGCGGUCUCUUAAGACAGGUGUGAAAUCCCCGAGCUUAACUUGGGAACUGCGCUUGUAACUGAGAGGCUAGAGUGUGGCAGAGGGGGGUGGAAUUCCUGGUGUAGCGGUGAAAUGCGCAGAUAUCAGGAAGAACACCCGUGGCUAAGGCGGUUCUCUAGUACGGUACUGACGCUGAGACGCGAAAGCGUGGGGAGCGAACAGG